CAGCUUUUGAGCCCUCUACUGACCUCUUUGGCUACUCUUUGACAUUACAGGUAAAAAUAAAAAAUACAACAUAAUAAACUUUUUUAUGCUGUGACACCUCGGGCCAAAGGUCUUGCUACGUUGUGAUUGACACAGAUGCCAGUCCUCAUUCCUCUCCUCACCAUCCGAGGUUUGCCAUGCGUCCUGAUCGCGAGGUCUUCUUAAGGGGUGUGCUGAGCCUUUGAUACGUCUUGGGUGAAAAGUUGUUUGUUACACUUUUUGACUCCACACAUACUUCGGUCCCUGAAGAAGGAAACCCGAAGCGCGUUGGGCCCAGUAUUUAUAUCGUGGACUCUUCACUCUUUUCCAACCACACCCCAUUAAUGUGUUGUUUUUAAACUUUUGUAUUAUACAUGUUUAUCAUAUUGUUUGAUACCUUUUGUUACCAUUAAACUAUUACUUAUUUUUGUA